rnacentral:rRNA from 1 species
AACGAACGCUGGCGGCAUGCCUAACACAUGCAAGUCGAACGAGAUCUUCGGGUCUAGUGGCGCACGGGUGCGUAACGCGUCGGAAUCUGCCCUUUGUUUCGGAAUAACAGUUGGAAACGACUGCUAAUACCGGAUGAUGACGAAAGUCCAAAGAUUUAUCGCCAGAGGAUGAGCCCGCGUAGGAUUAGCUAGUUGGUGUGGUAAAGGCGCAACAAGGCGACGAUCCUUAGCUGGUCUGAGAGGAUGAUCAGCCACACUGGGACUGAGACACGGACCAGACUCCUACGGGAGGCAGCAGUGAGGAAUAUUGGACAAUGGGCGAAAGCCUGAUCCAGCAAUGCCGCGUGAGUGAUGAAGGCCUUAGGGUUGUAAAGCUCUUUUACCCGGGAUGAUAAUGACAGGACCGGGAGAAUAAGCUCCGGCUAACUCCGUGCCAGCCGCCGCGGUAA